CUCCCGCGUCAAUUCCAAGUUUAACUCCGCUGAUACUCAGGGGGAACCCGAAGCCUGGGGUCCUGCGCCUGCUGCUUAGCCUAGCUCUGGAACAUCACAACAAGCACAGUGGGAGAACGGAGCGUGAUUCCGCAUGUCUAUAGUCCCAUCCUUUGGGUGCCUAAGGAAAGAAGUGCUUGUGAGUAAUGAGCUUUCCAGCUGUGAGACAGUGAGUUGUUGGACAAACACAGCAAGGAAAUGAAUGUCUGCAGUUACAGUCUUACUCAGCAGCUCUUGGCAGCCGUGAAAACAAUCAUUCAUCAAAUACUGGCACAAAAAAUCUCACAGUGGAGAGCAAUGAAAAUCUCAGUAAUAAACCUCUUGGCUCCCAUGAAAGAGGCAUGGUGGCGCACGCCUUUGAUCCCAGCACUCGGGAGGCUGAAGCAGUCGGAUCCCUGUG